UACGUAGGGGGCGAGCGUUGUCCGGAUUUAUUGGGCGUAAAACGCUUGUAGGCGGCCACGCCAAGUCGGAUGUGAAAUCUCCCGGCUUAACUGGGUGGGGUCAUCCGAUACUGGCGGGCUCGAGGCAGGUAGGGGGAAGUGGAAUUCCCGGUGUAGUGGUGGAAUGCGUAGAUAUCGGGAGGAACACCAGUGGCGAAGGCGACUUCCUGGCCUGUUCUUGACGCUGAGGCGCGAAAGCUAGGGUAGCAAACGGG
rnacentral:rRNA from 1 species